GGACUACCCGGGUAUCUAAUCCCAUUCGCGACCCACGCUUUCGUGCUUCAGCGUCAGGUGUGGACCAGUUUGCUGCCUUCGCUUUUGGUGUUCCCCAUGAUAUCAACGCAUUUCACCGCUACACCAUGAGUUCCGCAAACCCCUUCCAACCUCUUAGUCGCGCCGUUUCCCGUGCAGCUUCCCGGUUGAGCCGAGAAAUUUAACACAAGACUAACGCGACCGCCUACGCACCCUUUACGCCCAAUAAUUCCGGAUAACGCUCGAGGCACUCGUAUUACCGCGGCUGCUGGCAC
rnacentral:rRNA from 1 species